rnacentral:lncRNA from 1 species
AAAAAUCACAUCUCACAAACCAGCAAUGAUAAAUUCACAAACUCUACACCAAAAUCACCAUGAGUGUGUCUAGUUUAAGCACGAAAAAUUUGGGAGCCAUUGGAUAAAGUAUCACCAUUUCACAAAUGUUUUGGCAAUGUGUACAAAAAUUGGUCACAUGUCACAAACCCUAGAACCAUUUAAAAACCAACCAUCCAAAAAUUCUGGA